GAUGAACGCUGGCGGCGUGCUUAACACAUGCAAGUCGAACGAUGAAGCCCAGCUUGCUGGGUGGAUUAGUGGCGAACGGGUGAGUAACACGUGAGUAACCUGCCCUUAACUCUGGGAUAAGCCUGGGAAACUGGGUCUAAUACCGGAUAGGAGCGUCCACCGCAUGGUGGGUGUUGGAAAGAUUUAUCGGGUUUGGAUGGACUCGCGGCCUAUCAGCUUGUUGGUGAGGUAAUGGCUCACCAAGGCGACGCCGGGUAGCCGGCCUGAGAGGGUGACCGGCCACACUGGGACUGAGACACGGCCCAGACUCCUACGGGAGGCAGCAGUGGGGAAUAUUGCACAAUGGGCGCAAGCCUGAUGCAGCGACGCCGCGUGAGGGAUGACGGCCUUCGGGUUGUAAACCUCUUUCAGUAGGGAAGAAGCGAAAGUGACGGUACCUGGAGAAGAAGCACCGGCUAACUACGUG
rnacentral:rRNA from 1 species